UACGGAAGGGGCGAGCGUUGUUCGGAAUCAUUGGGCGUAAAGGGCGCGUAGGUGGUUCUGUAUGUCUACCGUGAAAGCGUACGGCUCAACCGUAUUUUGUCGGUAGAAACUGCAGGACUUGAGGCUGGGAGGGGCUGGUGGAAUUCCCUGUGUAGCGGUGAAAUGCGUAGAGAGUGGGGGAGAACACUCGUGGCGAAGGCGGCCAGCUAGACCAGUUCUGACACUGAGGCGCGACAGCGUGGGGAGCAAACAGG
rnacentral:rRNA from 1 species